UACCAGACUCCUACGGGAGGCAGCAGUGGGGAAUAUUGCACAAUGGGGGAAACCCUGAUGCAGCGGCGCCGCGUGAAGGAAGAAGUAUUUCGGUAUGUAAACUUCUAUCAGCAGGGAAGAAAAUGACGGUACCUGACUAAGAAGCCCCGGCUAACUACGUGCCAGCAGCCGCGGUAAUACGUAGGGGGCAAGCGUUAUCCGGAUUUACUGGGUGUAAAGGGAGCGUAGACGGCGAUGCAAGCCAGAUGUGAAAGCCCGGGGCUCAACCCCGGGACUGCAUUGGGAACUGGCGUGCUGGAGUGCCGGAGGGGCAGGCGGAAUUCCUGGUGUAGCGGUGAAAUGCGUAGAUAUCAGGAGGAACACCGGUGGCGAAGGCGGCCUGCUGGACGGAUACUGACGCUGAGGCCCGAAAGCGUGGGGAGCGAACAGGAUUAGAUACCCCGGUAU
rnacentral:rRNA from 1 species